ACUCAACACAAAUGCUUUAUGCCAAACUGAUAAUAGACAAAAGUGCAACUGAAAAUAUCACAAGCAUGCUGAAGAGUUUUACAUAUAACAAUACAGUUGUUGAAGCACCUGUAAUGACAACAGGUAAACUAAUUUCCAGUCUUCCACAUAAUCAUGCUGUGAUUUCUGAAGAAAAUACUUAUAUAACCUCUAACUCUAACCCUGAAUAACUCUUGUCCUUAUAAGUGUGCACAAAUGGUACAGGCAGCAAAGAAUGUGGAUGCAAACCGGGCUACAGAUGGAACGACACUUUCUGUCAGUCUAAUCUAAAAUGUUGCGGCAAUGCAAACUGCACUUUGGAUAAAAGUGCAGAUGCAAAGUGUGUCUCAAACACCGCAGUUACCAUCACAGGGUCUCUUACACUGCAGGGGUCUAAAUAUGUAGAUUGUUUGAAAGAUAUAACAGACCCUACAUAUGCAGAAUGCAGUGAUGGGUUGUUGACACGGAUGAAAAAAGUGUACAGCACUCUGAGGGGAUUUGACUUUUUAGACAUUACAAGAUUCAGGAUUGGUAGCGUCAUUGCAGACUUUAAAAUAAUCAUUGCCUCCAGCAUCGAUUCACAAGCUCUGAUAAAUAAUUCAAUAAAGAUUGGCCAAAUUCUGUCCGCCUCACUUAAUAUGGAGACUUCAGGUCUUGUCAACUUAGAGAUGCCACUAAUGCCUGUGCCUUAUGGUGCCACCAACCAAGUGAUCAGAUGCACAACCAAAGAGGACCUGAAAACUGACCCACAAUGGAGAAUAAUAAACAGCAAAGGGCAAUAUGACAUAACUACUGGAACAGUUUCAACAGUUGAUAUGUCAUCACGAACUAACAGUACAGUCAACCUCAGAAACGUCACAGAACUCUGGAAUGGUAUAUAUGCUUGUUCCGUU
ensembl:lncRNA